AACGUAGGUGGCGAGCGUUAUCCGGAAUUACUGGGCGUAAAGCGUGUGCAGGCGGGCUAGCAAGGGGUGUAUGAAAGCUCCCGGCUCAACCGGGGAGGGUCAUUCGAUACUGAUCGACUCGAAGGCAGGAGAGGGUAGUGGAAUUCCCGGUGUAGUGGUGAAAUGCGUAGAUAUCGGGAGGAACACCAGUGGCGAAGGCGACUACCUGGCCUGUUCUUGACGCUGAGGCGCGAAAGCUAGGGGAGCAAACGGG
rnacentral:rRNA from 1 species